UGUCAACAACUGUAUAGGCAAACAACAUUACAGUGAUUUGUCGGUUGUCUACCCAAUAGGUGGCUAAUUUCAUUUUUCCAACAAAGAAAAUUUUUGUCAAAUGAAAAAUAGCUCAGUAAUGUAUGAAUAGAUCACGUUGUUCUCUGAUGUAGCGCACUUCAACAUAACUGCACUCAUGAAGCCAGUUAUUGAAACCUAGUGGUUUGUACACGAUUUUCCAAGGAGGGAGGAAUAUAAUUAAAUCAAACACGAUCAUCUUGACUCAUUUCAUUAUAUUAAAACAUAAAAAUAUAAAACAAUAAAUGAGGUAAUAUGUAUA